GACGAACGCUGGCGGCGUGCCUAAUACAUGCAAGUCGAACGCAGUGGGGACGGGUGAGUAUCACGUGUGUAACCUUCCCUCAGAGGGGAUAACGCUUGGAAACAGGUGCUAAACCGAUACUGAUGGAUGGCCUCUCGGUGCAUUAGCUAGUUGGUGAGGUAACGGCUCACCAAGGCCACGAUGCAUAGCGGACCUGAGAGGGUGAUCGGCCACACUGGGACUGAGACACGGCCCAGACUCCGACGGGAGGCAACAGUAGGAAAUCUUCGGCAAUGGACGAAAGGCGGACAGAGCAACGCCGCGUAAGUGAAGAAGGAUUUCGGAUCGUAAAACUCUGUUGUUAGAGAAACGGUAUCUAACAAGAAAGCCACGGCUAACUACGUGCCAGCAGCCGCGGUAAUUC
rnacentral:rRNA from 1 species